rnacentral:rRNA from 1 species
UACAGAGGCCCCAAGCGUUGUUCGGAUUUACUGGGCGUAAAGAGCGUGGAGGCCGAGGGGAAAGUGUCAAGUAAAAGCCAUCCGCUUAACGGAUGCGAAGCGGGACAUACUUCCCUUCUAGAGCGUGUAAGAGGGGGCUGGAAUUUACGGUGUAGCAGUGAAAUGCGUAGAUAUCGUGAGGAACACCAACGGCGAAGGCAAGCCCCUGGUACAAUGCUGACGCUAUAGCGCGAGGGCCAAGGGAGCAAACGGG